rnacentral:rRNA from 1 species
CGAACGGGUGAGUAAUAUAUCGGAACGUGCCCAGUCGUGGGGGAUAACGUAGCGAAAGUUACGCUAAUACCGCAUACGAUCUAUGGAUGAAAGCGGGGGACCGUAAGGCCUCGCGCGAUUGGAGCGGCCGAUAUCAGAUUAGGUUGUUGGUGAGGUAAAAGCUCACCAAGCCGACGAUCUGUAGCUGGUCUGAGAGGACGACCAGCCACACUGGAACUGAGACACGGUCCAGACUCC